GUGCAGGAAGAAUGCCCUAUGGUUGGUAAACUGCUUUUWUUUGGGAAUAAACCCAGGGUCGUGYWCCYACGGCUGAAGGUACCWWAWGAAUAAGCACCGGCUAMCUCCGUGCCACCASCCGCGGUAAUACGGAAGGGGGCAAGCGUUAUCCGGAAUCAUUGGGUUUAAAGGGUCCGCAGGCGGGGUUAUAAGUCAGUGGGGAAAACAUACAGCUCAACUGUAGAACUGCCWUUGAUACUGUAAGUCUKGAAUUCGGUSGAAGUGGGCGGAAUAUGACAUGUAGCGGKGAAAUGCUUARAUAUGUCAUAGAACACCGAUAGCGAAGGCAGCUCACUAGGCCUGGAUUGACGCUCAGGGACGAAAGCGUGGGGAUCAAACAGGAUUARAUACCCUGGUAGUCCACGCCGUAAACUAUGAUWACUCGUUUUCGGCACUUAAGUGUGUCGGAGACCAAGCGAAAGUGAUAAGUACUCC
rnacentral:rRNA from 1 species